rnacentral:rRNA from 1 species
GAUAAACGCUGGCGGCGUGCCUAAUACAUGCAAGUCGAACGCUUUUUCUUUCACCGGAGCUUGCUCCACCGAAAGAAAAAGAGUGGCGAACGGGUGAGUAACACGUGGGUAACCUGCACAUCAGAAGGGGAUAACACUUGGAAACAGGUGCUAAUACCGUAUAACACUAUUUUCCGCAUGGAAGAAAGUUGAAAGGCGCUUUUGCGUCACUGAUGGAUGGACCCGCGGUGCAUUAGCUAGUUGGUGAGGUAACGGCUCACCAAGGCAACGAUGCAUAGCCGACCUGAGAGGGUGAUCGGCCACACUGGGACUGAGACACGGCCCAGACUCCUACGGGAGGCAGCAGUAGGGAAUCUUCGGCAAUGGACGAAAGUCUGACCGAGCAACGCCGCGUGAGUGAAGAAGGUUUUCGGAUCGUAAAACUCUGUUGUUAGAGAAGAACAAGGAUGAGAGUAGAACGUUCAUCCCUUGACGGUAUCUAACCAGAAAGCCACGGCUAACUACGUGCCAGCAGCCGCGGUAA